rnacentral:rRNA from 1 species
UACAGAGGGGGCAAGCGUUGUUCGGAAUUACUGGGCGUAAAGGGCGCGUAGGCGGCCUUCUAAGUCGAACGUGAAAUCCCUGGGCUCAACCCAGGAACUGCGUCCGAUACUGGAAGGCUUGAAUCCGGGAGAGGGAUGCGGAAUUCCAGGUGUAGCGGUGAAAUGCGUAGAUAUCUGGAGGAACACCGGUGGCGAAGGCGGCAUCCUGGACCGGCAUUGACGCUGAUGAGCGAAAGCUAGGGGAGCAAACGGG